CGGGGAUUAGCGCAGUGGGAGCGCGCAGCGUUCGGGACGCUGAGGUCGCCAGUUCGAAUCUGGCAUCCCCGA
rnacentral:tRNA from 1 species